GUUUUCUGGCCGUGCCAAAAUGAGGCCCUGUGAUGGAUGCCAUCUUGGAAGCAUCACAGAUCAGCACAUACCUGAGACUGGAGCGACCAGCUGCUCUAGUUUCACAGAGCGCCUCAUCAGUGCAGACUUCAGCCAUCACCACAAACCUACAAAUGAUAACCUUCAGAUUGAUGCGGCGGAGUUUUCCACGAUUCUUUAUCUGCUGAUGAAUCACAACCAGGACCCGUUAAACUUUAAAUUGGAGAAUAAAAUCAUCAAAAAUGCUUGCAUGAGAACCAACAGUAAGGGACUGGACGUAAAAUUCUAGACUCCACCCUCAGCAUUAAAGUUAUGACAUUAUCAGCCGGAGAAUAGUCACGAAUCCUAGGAAGGUGUUCCCUCGAUGGAAAACCUUGGAUCCAAAAUGAAGUUAUUGGACCACAAUUCUUCCAACUCACCUGCAUCGAAGUCAUGCUAAUGAUUUCCAUUAACAGCUGGCUGCUGUUGGUUACUUUAUUUGGAAUUCCCAAUAAGAAUUUUGUUUCCUUCCAUAUUUUUACCUUUUUGUUUCAAUGAUGUGAUUAUUUUUCUUCAUAAAGUCUUUUUUCCAGUGAAGAAUAUCCAUUGACUUAUACACACACAUGAUAUAUACACACACGUUUGCUUACCACAGGAGUGCACAAAGCAAGUUUGGUAUAGCCAGUGUGAUAGUUGGCUCAAAAUAAGCCAUAACCGUUCAGUUCUAAAAUGUAAAACGUUGACCUAAUAGACGCUUUCAACUGCUCCUUUAUUUCCACAGAAGUCCCAAAAUAGAUGGGUCCACAUCACUUGGCACAGAAUUUAUGGUGCAACCUCCCAUUUGUCUGGGCUUAAAGUCCACAAACCUGGCUUAAUGUUUCAUUCACUAUGACCUUGAGCAAACAGCCCAUUAACUCUCCAGGAAACAAUUUACAGAGGUCAAGGCAGACAGAUAUUUACGCAGGAGCUUAUGUUUUUUUUUUUUUUUGCAACCAUAACUAUCGCCCCCUGGUGGCAAGCAAGAAAAACUAUAGGUUUAGGGCACUUUGCAUUGGCUUCACCUUUCAGACCUGGAGUUUGAAAAGAGACUAAAGAGGACAUUUAAAGCACCAGCUGAGUCUCCAUCAGCACAAAAAGAAACUAUUGAUUGCCCCCACUUCAGUCAGAGACGUCACAGAGAAGCUUGCAGUGAAAGGAAACACUGCAAAUACCUGAACUCUGUUACUCAUGUGAAUUCAGGUGUUAACCUAUUUGUUUUGUGAAAUUACAUACAAUUCGUUAUGAUCUUGGGGGAUAAAAAUCCUACAAGUAAUAUUUUUUUUCUCAUUUGUGCUCUGUUAGCUGAAAUUCCAGCAAUAAACACAUUUAGCAGGUAAUCAGCAGUGAUGAAAAGAUGCAAGUGUUGCACUCGACAACCCAUUAAUGUGGCCUUGUGGCACACCCGUAUGCUGCCACCAUCUUUACAUCAUCAAACACUUCAAAACAAAUGCUGGGCACAAAAUUUCAACUGUGGAAAUCUAAUGUGCAUUUUUUGUAUCUGUAAAAGUAUAGACUGAACUGAAGAAAUUAUCGACGGUGGGACUGAGUAUGUGUGUUGUGCAUCACAAUGUUUUGUUCAAUUUUGAUAACACCAGUAAGUUUUUCUUAUGGUAGCGUUUUUUAAAAACAUUUUUUUUUAACUCUUUCUCUCCUUUGAAAUUUGUAAUUUUUUAAACCUAAGUAAGCUAUGAGAGCAGUUGUAUGAGCUGCAGUUUUUGUUUUCUGUUAUUCAACUGAAUGAAAGAGUUUUUUGAUUAAAGUAAGACAUGUUUUCAACAGUAGAUGAGUCGAUGUGGACUUUUAACUGGACUGCUAGGAUGAGUCAGGAUGUUGGGUUAAAUUUGAUUUGGAAAAUAACUAAAGCUGUCAAAUAAUGUAAAGGAGUAAAAAAAAAUAUGGGUUUUAUAAAAAUAAGGUUCACUAUAAUCCAGUUUGCAUUUGUUCCAGGUUUGCUGUACUGCAACCUUAGAGAUCAUCAUGACUACAUUUGACUUGAUUCACAGAAAGUCUUAAUAAAGGAGGAUUUACACCUUUCUUCAACAGGAAGAGGAAAUAUGUGCAGGCACCAACUACGGACAAUGUGACAUACAUUUAAUCUCACUUUAUAUGAUUUCUGUUUCUUUUUCUGUCAAAGACAGAAUUAUUGAUGAACAUAAUUUAGAUAGACGUGUUUGGCAGUUAGCCUCUGAUGGUCUGUCUUGGCAGAACGGACCCCAGCUGUGAAAGGGAUUAGAGCAGGACCCCCCAGAGCCUAGAUCCUGAUGGUGGAGAUGAAGGUGGUUUAUAUGGAGCCUGAGUGAAGAGGGGCAAAGAAGAGGAGGGGGUGGGUUGCACAAAGGCGUCUGUAAAGGCCAAUGACAGAUGCAAGGUUAGAUUUAAAGUAUGGGGCAUGAAUGCUGAUUGGUCUGGUGAAGGCUGAACUAGACCAGUGAUAACACAAAGAGUUUGACAGCGUGGGAAAGUCAGAGUGAUAAAGCUUACGGUGCGUUCACACCGAACGCGAUAGAGGCAAGCGAAAACGCCCCAAACGCCCCUAAUUUGACGCGUGCACAUUCGCACCUCAACGGGCCUCAAAAUUGCAUCUUUCCACGCGCGUGAACCAGAAAUGUGGGAGGGAUGUGGGAGGAAGGUGUGCCAGAUGGUAUCUUUGCAAGAUGGCAGCUGUCGAGCUAGAGCUUGAAGAGAGAGUCAGCCUUCUCUAUCUACUAGUGAUGGUGAGAUGAAGCCUCGUGAUGAGCUGAAGCUUUCCAUCCAACUGGUCGACUCAUGGUUCGAAGCACUGUGAUGAUUCAUUUGCUCUACUGCGCCAUCAAGUGGACGAUUUAAGUGAAAUAGGCUCUGUGAUUACAGGGAGUGCAGAAUUAUUAGGCAAAUGAGUAUUUUGUCCACAUCAUCCUCUUCAUGCAUGUUGUCUUACUCCAAGCUGUAUAGGCUCGAAAGCCUACUACCAAUUAAGCAUAUUAGGUGAUGUGCAUCUCUGUAAUGAGAAGGGGUGUGGUCUAAUGACAUCAACACCCUAUAUCAGGUGUGCAUAAUUAUAAGGCA
rnacentral:lncRNA from 1 species